UCUUUUUGCAUGUCUCUGAAUCUUUUGAUAUAUGAGAGAUGAGCUUUAAGUUUUAUUUCAUCCUUUGUGAGAUUUCUUUCAAGAAAUAUUUACACAAAUAAAAUCACUUCCAAAUAAUUCUUUGGACAACAUAUCAUAUUUAUUUAAAGAAUCUUAUGAUUUAUUCUUUGCACACAUUUUCUUGAUUUGAAAUUUUGGUCUCUG
rnacentral:lncRNA from 1 species